UAAUCUAAGAAAGGGAAAAUAGUCUUCUUGAGAAAUUAUGACAGAUCAUCUGACAAACACCAUACAAAAGAAUGAAUAAGGGUAUGCAACUUAUACUCUUUAACUUCUAGCUCAGGAGGGAUCAUAAACCUAGAGGUCAAAGGUGAAAGUAUAAACCUCCCAGAAGUCUAUCAAGGGCUAAAAAAAAAAAAAACAAAAAAACCCCUAGGUAUCCCAGUUUUAGUGAUAUGUAUGGUUUGUAGUAAACAAUACAAUUAAAAUACAAUGGACCAAAUACUUGAAUAUUAACUUUACCCAAAAGGAUAGAUGGUUGUAUAAACAUAAGCAAGGAUAUGGGAGAUCUCUCAUUCAUGGCUGGUGAGAAUACAAAAUGGUAGUCAUUUAUAAAAUAGUCUAGAAGUUUCUUACAGAUCUACACAUAUUUUUUAUUGUAAGACCCAUAAUCAUGCUCCUUGAGGUUAAUCAAAAGAUUUAAAAACUAUGGCAACCCAAAAAUCUGCAAAUGAAUUAUUUAUAGACAAAUUUAUAAUUUCUAAAAUUUGGAAUCAACCAAGAUGUCCUUCAUUAGUUGAACAGAUAAACUCUAGUGCAUCUACACAAAGGAAUAGUAUUUAGCACUAAAAAUUAGUGAAAUAGUCAGCAAGAAAAGACUUGGGAGAAUCUGCAGUAAGCUAAACCAUUUAAGCUCCAAAGGCUUUGUGAACAUCAACUACAUGACAUCCAGGGGUGACACAUCAAAGACAUAAACAGACUGUUGACUAUUGUUGUGUGUUUGACUAUUUCGAAAAAUUCUGUUAAAGCUGAUUCUAACAGUUGUUGCCAGCUUAUUAGCUGUUUUGUUGGGGCAUGGAGCCCUGGAGUUCCCUACUCUACUGUUUUUUGGUGAUCUUUAAUUGUAUUUUACUUUGAGUGAAAUGGGAAGUCACUGGAUAAUUUGGAGUAGAAGAUUGAUUUGAUCUGACAUUUUAAAAGGUUCAUGUAAGCUUCAAUAUCAAGGCUAGAUAGCAUGAGCCUAGGGGCACACACAGGGAGACAAGUUAAGAGGAUACCUUAUGAUCCAGAAAAGCACAUUGAUGGCUUUCAGCAGUGCAUGGGCAAGUGAGAGAAAAUGUGAUUGGUUUCUACAUACAAAUAUGUAAACAUAAGAAAAAAUUAUUGUAAGAUAUAAAAGGAAGAGAGACAUCAAGGAAGGUUGCUUGGUAUAUUUUAACUUUGUCAUAUGCUACUUUUUUUUCCUGUAGUAUAUUGCUUUGAAAAGUGUAGAAAGGGUACCUGCUUCAGAAUAAGAGCCAUCUGCAAGCUACUCAUUCCAUCACUUACCAGUCAUGGUAACUGUUGGAUUUUUAAUGGCUUCAUCAUAUGCGACAAUGAUACUAAUCUUGUUGAGUGUCAAUCAAGACAGUGAUGCAUUGUAUUCAUCCUGGAACUUUCAUUACAGUAAAAUCCAGGAGAAUGUUUAGUUCUCUUUAUAGCCUUUCUGAUCCUGGUACCAGUAGCCCUGUGUUUGUUUGUUUGUUUGUUUGUUUUGUUUUGUUUUUGUUGUUGUUGUUGUUGUUGUUGUUGUUUUUGGCUUUUCGAGACAGGGUUUCUCUGUAUAGCUCUGGCUGUCCUGGAACUCACUUUGUAGACCAGGCUGGCCUCGAUCUCAGAAAUCCACCUGCCUCUGCCUCCCGAGUGCUGAGAUUAAAGGCGUGCACUACCACGCCUGGCAGUAGCCCUGUUUUUGUCAUGAAGUCAGACCUCCAGUCAGUUUUGAAAAACCAGUUUAACACUACUUUCCUCAGUGUAAUAUAGAUAGAGACAAUGUAGAACCUACUCUCCCUUGGAUAUGAAAUACAAGCCUGGGUCUCCUUCCUAGGACAAAAUUGCAGAAAAUCCUUUAUCUCAUUUUACUCUAACAUUAGAAAGUCCUAUGCAGGACUGUACUGUAUAGAUUUCUUCCCCUUGCUCUCUU
rnacentral:lncRNA from 1 species